rnacentral:rRNA from 1 species
AGAGUUUGAUCCUGGCUCAGGACGAACGCUGGCGGUGUGCUUCACACAUGCAAGUCGAGCGAAUGAAGAAGGUAGCUUGCUACUUUUGGAUUUAGUGGCGGACGGGUGAGUAAUAUAUAGGAAUCUGCCCUAGAGCGGGGAACAACAGACCGAAAGGUUUGCUAAUGCCCCAUAGGUACGCAGUCUUCGGAUUGUUUAUUAAAGGAGUAAUCCACUCUAGGAUGAGCCUGUAUCCGAUUAGCUAGUUGGCGGGGUAAAGGCCCACCAAGGCUACGAUCGGUAGUUGGUCUGAGAGGAUGAUCAGCCACAAUGGGACUGAGACACGGCCCAUACUCCUACGGGAGGCAGCAGUGGGGAAUUUUACACAAUGGGGGAAACCCUGAUGUAGCGACACCGCGUGAACGAAGAAGCCUUUUGGGGUGUAAAGUUCUGUCGGCUGGAACGAAAAAAAUGACGGUACCAGCAAAGGAAGCAUCGGCUAACUACGUGCCAGCAGCCGCGGUAAGACGUAGGAUGCAAGCGUUGUCCGGAUUUAUUGGGCGUAAAGAGUUCGUAGGCGGUUAUUUAAGUCUGGUGUUAAAUACUGUGGCCCAACCACAGAACUGCAUUGGAUACUGGAUGACUUGAGUGCGGUAGAGGCGAGUGGAAUUCCCAGUGUAGCGGUGAAAUGCGUAGA